ACUCAAAUGAAUUGACGGGGGCCCGCACAAGCGGUGGAGCAUGUGGUUCAAUUCGAUGCAGAGCGAAGAACCUUACCUGGGCUUGACAUGCUGGAAGUAGAAACCCGAAAGGGGGACGACCUGUUAAGUCAGGAGCCAGCACAGGUGGUGCAUGGCUGUCGUCAGCUCGUGCCGUGAGGUGUUGGGUUAAGUCCCGCAACGAGCGCAACCCUCACCCUAUGUUGCCAUCAGUUCGGCUGGGCACUCUUAGGGAACUGCCGGCGAAGAGCUGGAGGAAGGGGGGGAUGACGUCAAGUCCGUAUGCCCCUUAUGUCCAGGGCUACACACAUGCUACAAUGGUCGGUACAGAGGGUUGCCAACCCGCGAGGGGGAGCCAAUCCCAUAAAGCCGAUCUCAGUUCGGAUUGCAGGCUGCAACUCGCCUGCAUGAAGUAGGAAUCGCUAGUAAGCGCAGAUCAGCAGGCUGCGCUGAAUACGUUCCCGGGCCUUGUACACACCGCCCGU
rnacentral:rRNA from 1 species